AGUAACCGCCGCAUUCGAGAGUAAAAUGCGGCACUUUUUUAUUUAGUGGAGUGUGAAUAUUAUGUCUAUUACGGCAGCGCAAAAAGCGCAAAUUGUGACUGAUUACCAACGAAUUAAA
rnacentral:ncRNA from 1 species